ensembl:lncRNA proline-rich protein 36-like
CUGCAAGAUCGAAAGAUCCGCAGUUCGAAUCCACGUGGUGGAUUGAACUCCCGUCGCUUGUCCCAGCUCCUGUCAACCUAGCAGUUCGAAAGCAUAUAAAAAUAUGAGUAGAUAAAUAGGUACCACCUCAGUUAACGGCGUUCCGUGUCUAGCUGCACUGGCCAUGUGACCACUGAAACUGUCUAUGGACAAACGCUAGCUCUAUGGCUUGGAAACAGGGAUGAGCACUGCGCCCUAGAGUCAGACACGACUGGACUAAAUGUCAAGGGGAACCUUUACCUUUAAAGUUUGUGUAACUUUAGUCAAUAUGUCCCAUAUCUGAAAUACAAGGUUCUGAGCACAUCUGAGCCCAGCUGCCAAGUGGUCAGACACCUCUGAAUGAAUAACUUCUUUCCAGGUCACCCUUCUUUUGAGAAUGAGCAGAGGUUCCAACGCCUCCCAUCCCAUCGGUUUCCUGUCUAUUCAAUCAAGCGCAAGCUCAGUGUUGAUGCCAGAAGAAGCCCGGAUCCCAUCCUGGAGAGGCAGAAGGUGUCGAAAAUGAUGAGGCGCUCCACGUGUGGGCCUGUAGCAAGCUCUCAAGAACAGGUGGCUCUGCCUGCUUCACAACUCCCAGGUCUGCCCCCGGCUGUGUCCUGUGUUACCACACCCAGAACCGAGCCUUGCAGGGAUUCUUCUCCAGUGCUUCACCCAUCCUGCCCUCACAGAUGCCCCUUGAGGAAGCCUCUGGUGGAUCCUGCCUCCCUCACCAUGUCCCAGUUGCAGCAAAUGCGUCCUUCUGUCAUCACCUGUGCCCCCCGCCGGAGCUGCCCAGAGACACGUCCAAGCCUCAGUCCCCCGAUCUCCCCAAUUAAUCAGAAGAGCAACACAACCCCAGAUUCUCCCCGCUCACAGAGGCUUCCGCCAUGGACCACCAGCCCAGCAGGGCCUUCUGCCCGAUUCAGUAGAGAAUCAUCUCAGAAGGAGAAAAUCCAGGAAGCAGACGAGACUCUUUCCCCCAUUCCUUGAUCGUCCUUGGCUUUGUCCUUGGCACUACUGUACAGCCCCAACCUUCCUCAACCCCCAGGGCUUCUUAAUAUUUUGGCGUACCUCUUCCAUCAUCCAGGCCCAACACAUCUGGAAAGUCUGCCAGGCUGGGGCAUGGUUGGUGUGUCUCAUUCUUUCUAGGGCUGGACCCAGAAGUCCUGAUUGCCUCCUUUCCACCCUCCUUAUUUCUUGGAAGCUGCUGUUCCUCCUGUUCUAUCAUGGGCCUUCCUUCAAAAACUCUUUAGUACAACCUCUUAUUCCUUUUUCUGCCCUGUGUAUGUCUCAUGGGCCCACCCACUAGUCUUUUUCAGUGCCUGCUAGAGCUCAACCACAUACCCACAAAUUUCACCGAUUCUCUCUCUCUCACACACACACACACACAAACACACAUACAAGCUGGAGAAUCUUGAUUCUUUGGGUUUUACGAUUCUCCUCUUUUAAAAAACAGUUUUUUAAAAGACAAAAUGUUUGUGACAUUCCUGCCACAUCUGUUUUGAUUUUGAGAAGUUGGUGUGGGCCUUGGAGGAUCUUAGGUUUGGGAAAAAUAGGUCCCAAACUUGCAGAGUUUGCCCAUUUCUGCUUUAAACCCACUGCUGUUUUUUAAAAAACAAACAAACAAACCCUAGUUUGGUUCCAAAGGAAUUUCACUUCCAAAUCAGGGUCCUUUUCCUCACAUCAAAAUGUUAGUGGGGGUAUUACAGCUCAAUUCCCCAGCCCUCAUGGAUUCUACGAACUUUACUCUUUUUUAAAAGGGUAAUAUUUGUAAUAUCUGCACCUAAGAGAAGAAUCUCCUUGCAGCGUCCUUGCUGUCCUCUUCCAGGAGAGUCUAAAAAUUUUGGCAGCUGGAUUGGUGCAUAUCAACAAAUAAGAAACAGGUCUUUUUUUAAGGGAAUGGCUCUUGAUUGCCUAUACAAUUCCAAAUUACUCUCAAAAAAUUGCAUUGCUCUAUAACAAGGAUAGCUUGCAACAAGAUACUGUUCUUAGGUGAAUCCACAUCUCUCCCAGUGGCCCAGGAGGACAGCAGUUAAGUUCAGAGGGAACACAGCAGUCUAAAGGACAUGACAGAUAAUGUAAUAGUCCCUGGUAAUCAGAAAGUCCAAGGAUUUCAACCUGACAAGCCCUAGCUCCAUUGUGCGACUAGAUGUAUACUGCUUUUGUUAUGUGGAAGCUCCAUUUAGAUAUCCUACACACUCUUAUCUAUCCCAGUCCUUAUAAGCAAUAAUCCUUAUGUAGAUCAAACAGUACUAGCAAAGGUUAAGAGGGGGAAAGAGCCCAAAAAACCCACGACAACCGUUAAGAGGGGAGCUGCCAGGUGAACCUGAGGAAAUGCUAAGGUUUGCAGAAGUACAAAAUCAUCUUGAGGGAGAAUGUGUUUGCAAAGGAAAAUCCCAAAAUAGUCAAUGGCCAAAGAAGAAUGGUUGCAAACUAAAAAUGGAAACCUGAUGGGGAGUAGAAAGGAGUACAGCAAGACUCCCUUAUUUGCAGGAUCAGUAUCUGCUGAUUCAUUUAUCCAUGGUCUGAACAUAUUAAAAAAUAUUGAAAGAAAAAUCCUAGAAAUAUAUAUUUCUAAAGAUGAAAUUUCUAGAAUUGGCCAUAAGGGAGCGGGAGAGCAUGCUAUUUAUAAUGUUUGCUAUUAAAACAGCAUUCACUAUAAUCCAAAUUUUCACCAUCCAUCCAAGGUGGCUUGGAAUCAUUUCCCAUGGAUACAAGUAUCCUGCUGUAUUCUAGAAAACAGUCGGAAUUAAAUAGUGAACAGGUGCAUUGCAUGCUGCAACAUUUUGUAGCAUGAUUCAUAUGUGGAACUGGAGCACACACAGUGGCUGUAUACUAGACUCUUCCUCUCUAGACAGAGAGUAAGAUUUCAGUCUACAAGUCUUUCCCAAAAGGAGGCAGGGGAGAAGAUAAAGAUAAAUAAGCUAAAGGUCAACAUUAACCUAGGCCAGGGCAGGAAACGACUGAGCUGGCCAAAGCUGUCCUGGCAGUGAAAUGAAAAAACAAAUUCAGGCUCUGAUCAGCCCUGGAAUGGAGAACUGAAACGCAGUCUUCCCUCGGAGAGAAUCUCAGCCAAUGAAACCAAGAGAAUGCCUCAAAGACACUUUCUGUUUUGGUUUCCUCUGGGCAAACAUGUGAGGGAUUUACGAGAAAAAUGCAAGAAAGGGGAAAUGGCAGCUGAGUCACUCUGCAUGCAGGAGCAGGACCGACAAGGAAGCUCUGGGAGAAGAAGUGGACCAGGAACCUUUGUCCCUGGGCGAUUAAAUCCAAGACCAAAGACUUUCUGCACGAGACUCUCUCAGGCACACUGAAGGGGAACUUUCCCACGUCUGCACACACGCAUACCCCCACACAGUUUUUUAUUUGUAAUUCAUGAGUUUCAAUAAAGUAGCGUUGAACUGUGCCUUGGUGUGUCA